rnacentral:lncRNA from 10 species
GAGCUGGGUAGGGGAUGUGCCCGUGGACAGGAGUUGACCUUCUAGCUGUGGGCCAGCCCCGGGCAGCCAGUGGACCAGUGGGAGGCAGAGGCCAGAGGGUGGGAGGCCAUGGCGGCUCCCGGUGUCUGAGAUCACUGGCUGCUGCUUAGGCAGAGGCUGGACGGCCAGGUGGGACUGUCGCCUCCUUGGUCACAGCCCCUCCCAGGAUAGCCUCUCAGCUGGAGGCAGGGCUGUGCUGCCGGGUGUGGACCCCGCGGAUGGGUGACUGGCACAGACCCCCUUCCACACAGACCCGGGCUUGCUGUGUUUUCUCUCGGGGGAGGAAACAGUGCCCUCUGCCGGACUCUUCAGGGAUUGCAGGUGCCCCCGACCCAGAAAGCAGCUUCCUCCCGGAUCAGCCCAGAAGCAGGACAGCCAGGGGCCAGGCAGGCGUGGAUCUGGGCAGUGAAGGCGUGUGUGAGCCACAGGCACUGUAUGACCUAUGGGAUGGCAGCAGAGCCAGGAUCAGAGGAUCCCAGAGGGCCUCUGGAAGGCAGAGUGCAGUGACCCUGCAGGAAGCUUGGACAGGAGGACCAGACCCGGCCCUGGCUCCUACUCUACUCCAACCCCAGGCACGCACUGAGCCCUGGCCCCGUCCCCUGUGGACCGUAUGGAGGGUGAGACCACGGGAUGGGUGUCCGCAGGUGUGUGCUUUGCUCUUAACCCAGAGAAGCCAAGAGCUGUCUUCCUGCCUCCUCCCCCUCAGUGACUCAGUGCCAUCCCCGGCCACACUCCUCUCCUCUCGCCCCCAUCACAGCUCCACAUUGACUGAGGGUGCAGGUCCUCUGGGUGACAGGCAGCAGUCCUGGGGGUGGACGGGGGAGCUGACUCAUUGUAGUGGGAGGAGAGGUGUCACAGCUGAAGUCCCCCAAGUUUGGACCCCCAGCCUGUCCAGGUGGCUCCUGGGAGAGCACCCAGGGCUACACCUUCUCAGCAGUGGGGGAGUCCCCUGGGCACCAGAACAAAGACUCCUUUACUCCAGGCUCCACCCUCAGAGGCCAUGGGUUCCUGGGCUUUGGUCUGUCUCAGUCACCAGCUAGUACUAGUGGCCUCUUUACUACAGGGGUCAGGAGGCUGUCCUGAGACAUGGCAAGAGGGACUGGCAGGGUAUUGGGAGGUCCCAGGGUGGGAUGGCCCCAGAAUGCCCUGCUGGUGGUUGCCCUCAGGGGAUGCAAACUUCUGCCUUGCCCUGUAUCCAUUCAGACAGCCCCUGCAUCAAGGGGCCCUGUGGGGACACUGGCUGAACCUAGGGACUGGGACCUUGCAGAGAAGAGGCACAGAUCUUCCCUCUCCCAGCAGUUACUGGAGCUGGGCCGUGGUUCUGGAUGGGGCAGGGUCCUGGUGUUGAAGGGGGAGGGGCCAAGAUGCUGGAUGGGGCGGGGCCAUGGUGCUGGAUGGGGUGGCCCCUCUCCCGGCAACCUCAGCAGCAGCCUCCUCCUUCCAGUGCCCUCUAGGAUGCCGUCCCCCGACACGGCACCAUGGUGCUACCUCCUCCGGCAUCACGAUUCUGCCUCACCAGCACCACAGCCUUGCCUCCAGGGCCAUGGCCCCAGACAGUGGCCACUGCCUCACUGGCUGUGAGUGUGCGCGGGGCCUCCUUCAUCACACUCAGAGAAGAGGGACCCUGGGCUUCACCGGAUGAAACUGGUAAGGGGUGGGGUGGGCAGACCACCAGAGAGUGGUGACCCUCACUGUACCUCAUUCCUGCGGUGCCCCCCGACAAGCCUCUGAGGGAAGGCCCCAUCCUUGCCAUUUUCCGUGAGGAGCCUGAGUGAGCAAAGGGCGGAGGCGACCCUGACCCCAGAGCGAGAUGGCUGUGUCUCCCCGCCCUCCCUGCACUCCCCUUUCGCUUGCAGUUCCCUGGGGCAUUUGCCCUGGGGCCACCAGGGGAGAGGGGUCCGGCCCUCAGACUGUCCAGAAACACCUGGAGGGGUGGGCCCCUGCCACCUGCCCCUUGCCCACACAGCGCAGGGCUGUUGCCUGCGCACCUGACAGCUCCAGAGCUCCCGCGGCCCUGGACGAGCUCUGUCCAAGGUGCUGAAGGAGAAGCGCUGAGCCCUAGGUGGUUUUGCUGCUCACUGAUGUCCCCGCAAGGGCCAGGAAGGGUCAGGAACGACUUGGGUCUGAGGAAGUCGACCUGGGCCCCCCGGGGAGCUGUCGUGUGUGUGUGUCCCAGUCGACAACGAGUGAGGAACUGAGGCCUCUGCCAGACGCUGUGUGACUAAGCUUAGAAGCAGACGCCUCCUCAGUGGAACCCUCAGAUGACCCAGCCCAGCUGGCACCUCCACUGUAGCUCAGAGCCACCCUGAGCUGAGCCCCUUAUGAGUUCCUGAUUAAAGAAACCAAGAGAGAGUACAAACGGUUCCUGCUGUCUGGCACUCCGCGGUUCUGGGAAAUUUGUUGCACUGACUGGCAUGGGAUUGGGUAAGCCGCCCUCCACCUCCAGGGGCAUUCACUCAGUGGUUUCAUGCCCCAGAGCCCCCAGUGAGGCCAACUGAAACUGGCUUCUGGCUACGAACAAAGCCUUGCCCAGCUCUUUCCUCUUACAGUCCUGCUUCUUUUGAGAGACUCCCUUAGCAAAGCUCUUGAACAAAAGGCCUCAUUGUAUGCUCUCCUUCCAGGGAGUCUGACCUGAGACAGUGGCUGUUCUCAGCAGGGUUGACCAUCGCUCUGCAGGAUCCUGGGUGAUGAGAGUGGUCUCCCUCUGGAGUCUGCCUCUGAAAUGGUGCUGAGAGAUGAUUCCUCGUGGGUCUCUCAUGUUUCUGCACAUGGCCAAGUUUGUUCUGCUCAGGGCUGGACCCAGCACUCCCCUCGCAGGAAUGGAAGUGGGGUGGGGGUGGGGGGUGAGUAGAAUCAAGCCAUCGAGCCAGGUCCUGAGCAGAAUAAACAUGGUCAACAUGGUUGAAGACCCAGGCCCUCCACCCUUGUUCUGCCGGAGCAAGAGGUGGGCUUUCCUUGAGAGGAGGCUGGGAGAGCGAGUCUGGGGAGAGGUGGAGAAGGGGACUUGCCUCCCAACUGGGAUCACAGCUGGAAUCAAGGGCCCUGGGUCCCUGCUCUCACCAGGCUGGGAGCACCGACGCCAGCAGAGGGUGGGAGUCCAGGGUGCUAGAGGCACUGGAAGGAGGCUACAGUUGAUGGAACUCCUUCGGGGCACCCACCUAGACUCCAGUCUUCUUCUCUGUGAGGUGGCUGACAGGUCCCUGCCCAGCUCUCCCCUCCCUGGUGUCCCAGUUCUCAGGGUGUUUGUGCCUCCCUGAGGAUGAGCCAUUCCUGGACCCCUGCAGCUCUCAGCACUUCUUAUCUCUGGCAAAGGCCACCUGCAAGCAAACCAGAAACUCCUCAACGUCAGGGUGUGAUGAAUCACCUAUGGACUUCCCCGGUGCCCCCGUCACCAAAGGAAGUCUCCAAUAAAGCAUUGUUG